CACAAAUUAAAAUAUGAAGGCUUCGGCUGGAUUAUUUUAUCACCCUUGCCUUUUGCGCACUUGUUGUUUCCUGGGCGGGUUCGCCCGCCACCAGGACCACACCAUAAACCUUUUUUAUGCAGUUGCAAUCAGCGUCAGUAUAACAAAUGUAAAUCAUUUA
rnacentral:misc_RNA from 1 species